AUCUAAUCUAAAUAAAAGACAAUGUGCCAAUAUUAUUAACCUUAAUGAACUGGAUUGAUCAGAUUAUUCUAUAAAUAGAAUUAUUAAAAGAAUCAGUAGACCCAGGAUAAUCAGUUAAUGUUUUUAUAUCACUAUCACAUGUUACAAAAGUAAAUGCUGCUAUAGUUGUAAUCAGAAGAUGAGGACACCUCAUAAACGUAUUUGUUUUACUCCAUCUUCCUCUCAAAUUGUUUUUACCCCAAAUACAACACGCACAUUUUAAUUACUACUGUCUACUACUGUUACUGACGUGUAAACAUUUUAAUGGAAUAGGUUUGACAUCAGCGUUCCUUUAAUAGGAGGAAAAAUGUGAAUAUUUAAUAUAUGUGUAAUUUAUUUAUGAUUAAAAUGAAAAUGCUGAUUGUGCCUUCCAUAAUAAAAAGGUAUCUAAAUAUCUUGAA